rfam:Pteropus alecto contig160624, whole genome shotgun sequence.
CCAAAGGCCCUUUUUAGGGCCAACCAGAGAUUCCUCGGAGGAGCUG